rnacentral:rRNA from 1 species
CAGGAUGAACGCUAGCGGCAGGCUUAACACAUGCAAGUCGAGGGGCAGCGGGAUGUAGCAAUACAUUGCCGGCGACCGGCGGAUGGGUGCGUAACGCGUAUGCAACCUACCUUAUACAGGGGAAUAACCUUUCGAAAGGGAGACUAACACCCCAUAGUAUUGAUUUAAGGCAUCUUAGAUUAAUUAAAUAUUUAUAGGUAUAAGAUGGGCAUGCGUAUGAUUAGCUAGUUGGUAAGGUAACGGCUUACCAAGGCGACGAUCAUUAGGGGUUCUGAGAGGAAGGUCCCCCACACUGGUACUGAGACACGGACCAGACUCCUACGGGAGGCAGCAGUGAGGAAUAUUGGUCAAUGGGCGCAAGCCUGAACCAGCCAUGCCGCGUGCAAGGAAGACGGCCUUAUGGGUUGUAAACUGCUUUUACAUAAGACUAACCGUAUAUUUGCGAAUAUACCUGAAUGUAUUAUGAGAAUAAGGAUCGGCUAACUCCGUGCCAGCCGCGGC